rnacentral:lncRNA from 1 species
CUUGCUCAUUCUUAGCGAAGUAGUUAAAUGUAAGUGUUCUGGACAAAGUGCAAGAAUCGGUGCGCGCAGGCUUUGCAAUCUCCAUUACUGUGUCUCGUUCGUUUCUUAGCCUGUGCAAAACUAGCUCUCCGAUUUUCCUGUGAUCGGCAGAGUUUGAAGUGCCAACCUCAUCGGUUUUGUUUGUCAUAUACCCAUCUUCUAUCCAUCUCCUCCACUGAGGGCAAUCUGAUUUUGUAGUAAAGAUAUAUAUCUAUCUUAUAUUUAAUUCCCUCCACCAAUCUCGUUCGUUUCUUAGCCUGUGCAACACUAGCUCUGCGAUUUUGCUGUGAUCGGCAGAGUUGGAAGUGCCAGCCUCAUCGGUUUUGUUUGUUAUAUACCCAUCUUAUAUCCAUCUCCUCCGCCGAGGGCAAUCUGAUUUUGUAGUAAAGAUAUAUACCUAUCUUAUAUUUAAUUCCCUCCACCGAACAAUUUGAUUUUGUUAAUUCAAUCCUUUCUCUGGAUCUUAUGAGACUUAAUGCCCAACCAGUCUCGGUUUUGGGACUCUCCCCUAAUCUUCGCUGCUUUGAACUUAUCUUGUGUUAGAUAUAAGGUAUAAUUGGUCUGGUAUUAUUCUGCUUUUGUUGAUUGUCGUGCAUGUCUGUUCUCCAAUCAUUGAGGUUUAUAUAGAGGUUUAUAUAAAUUAGAACGUGACCGGUAUUUUAUAUGCUGUACUUUGGCCUAUUUCCUUUCAAUUCUUAUGGAGCAUGCGCAUGGGAGUAAGCUUUGUUUGUGGUUAGGUGAAUCAAAAGUUAUGGUACUACUCUUAUUGAAACCUUCUUACUUGUAUAUAGCUGAGCUUCUUUAAUGGGUCGUCCACGGAAAUAUGCAAGCUUGGAAGAGGCGACUAGAGAGAGGAAUGCGAGGAGACGACGGCAGCGUGGCAAUGCGAGUGCUAAUGACAGUUCUGGAGAAUGCCGAG